rnacentral:lncRNA from 1 species
AACAACAAAAUAUUACGCUAAAAUAAGCCCAUUAAAGCUUGGAUAGAAAAUGCCAUUAGUUCUUAAGUACACUAAGCAAGUUAGUUCAUUUUCACAUUCCUCUUCCCUCUUUUAGCUCCUUCAAUUAACUCUCCAUGCCCAUCAUAUUAUUCUCAUGUGUCCAUCUUAUUUUGAUGAAUAAAGAGACAAUAUAAUAAUGAAAAGAGGCACUUCAAGGAAGCACCCCUAAGUAUACAGGAGGUAUACAAAAAAACCUUUACCCAUGGCCUAUCCAAUCAACAAAAUCUACAACUGAAGUGGGACCAGAAACAAAAAGACCCCUGGACCACGCCCACAGAUUACAAAGUAAAACCGAUUUACACCCCUGAAACGUAUGCUCUACAUUCUCAAAAGCCCUACUGUUUCUUUCCUUCCAAACAAUCCAAAAGAGGCACAAGGGUGCUGCACGCCACACUUUCCUCCUUUCCUUUCCCACACAAGGCCCUAGCCACCCCAAUAACGCUUCUCUUAUUGAAUAGGGGAGCACCCAUGAAACUCCAAAUAGAGAGAAAAGAAAGCUCCACAAACAUCUGGCCAGCCCACAAUGCAAGAGUAUGUGAUCAAUGGAUUCUUCCUCUACCAAACACAAAUAGCAUCUAUUAGCCAAGGAGAACCCUCUUCUUUGAAGACGAUCCAAUGUUAUGGACUUUUUCCAUGUGGCCUCCCAAACAAAAAAACUUACCCUCGGCGGCACCAAAGAAUUCCAAAUGAUAUUUGCAGGAAAUUCUUCACGUCUUUCCGGGUCCAAGUCCUUGUAAAGAGACUUAACUGAGAAUCUUUUGUCCUUUGCCUUAGUCCAAAUUACUUCAUCUUCCACAUCACUGUAAACUCUCCUCCCUUGCAACCUCAAAAGAAGGCGCUCCACCUCAAUUACCUCCCAAUCAUUAAUACUCCUAGAGAACCUAGGAGCCCACACUCCCCCUCCAGAAUGACUCCAUACAUCCGCUACCCAAGCCUCCUUAUCCAAGGAUAUAGCAUAUAGAGAAGGAAAAAGGGAAUACAACUUAUCAUCACCACACCACUUAUCCUCCCAGAAUCUAAUCCUCCUACCAUUUCCCACAGCAUAAGCCAAAUUGUUGCCUACCGCUUCCCACCCUCUCCUAAUCGCUUUCCAUAACCCAACCCCAAAACUUCCUCUCACAACACAAGACCUCCAACCGCCCUCUUCUUCCCCAUACUUUGCACUUAUGACUUGCCUCCAUAAAGCUUCCCUUUCCACCGCAAAACGCCAACUCCACUUACAAAGGAGAGCCUUAUUUAGCAACGCCAAGCUCCUCACACCCAAACCGCCCUUUCGUUUAUCUGAACAUAUAAUAGACCAUUCCACUAAAUGAGGCUUCCUUUCCAAUGCCCCACCACCCCACAGAAAAUCCCUUUGGAUACGCUCCAAUCUCAACCUCACGCUUCUUGGCAUCUGAAACAGGGACAUACAAUAGAUAGGCAUGCUGGACAGAGUGCUCCUGAUCAAGGUCAUUCUGCCCCCCUUGGAGAUAUACUGCCUUUUCCAAAAAGAAAGCCUCUUCCUCAACCUUUCCUCAACUCCGUCCCAAGUAGCCACCUCCUUGAAACGAGCCCCCAAGGGAAGACCCAAAUAAGUAGAAGGAAGCCUGCUAACCUUGCAUCCAAACUCAAGCGCCACCUCCUCUACGUUCUCCACUCUUCCCACCGCAAUGAUUUCACUUUUGUCUAAAUUCACCUUCAACCCUGACAUUGCUUCAAACCACAUAAGGAGCCAACUCAAAUAGGACACCUGAUCAGUGGAAGGCUCACAAAAAACUAAGGUGUCAUCCGCAAACAGCAAAUGAGUGAUCUCCACUCCCCCCCCUCCUCUACCACUGAGAUGCCACCCCGACAAAAACCCCCCCUCCUUUGCUCUCUUCAGCAAGCAACUAAGAGCCUCCAUAACAAUCACGAACAAGUAGGGGGAAAGGGGAUCCCCCUGUCUCAAACCCCUAGAACUUUUGAAAAAACCUGAGGAAGUACCAUUAAUCAGAACAGAGAAGCUGACAGUCCCAAUACACCACUGAAUCCAGCUGAUCCACUUAGCUCCAAAGCCCAUCAUUUCCAUCAACCAAAAGAGAAAACUCCAAUUCACAUGGUCGUAUGCUUUUUCAAUAUCUAGAUAGGCAUGCGUGGAUCUCUUUUGGUCUUUCAAUAUUUGCCUCAAUUUGUUUAGGAAAGGUCAUUCGUAGAGCAGGUGGAAGCAUCUCCAACUUCAAUUCAGCAUCUUCAGUUAAUUCUAUGAGCAGCAAGCUAUCAGCUUUAAGUAAAGAAAAUAAUCAUCAAGUAUCUUGUUUUCAUCAACCUUAAGAUUCACAGCACCUCAAUCUCAUCUUAUUGAAGAUGUGCUUCAUGUCAGCCUAAAAUCAUUCAAUUUUUCAACAACAAAUUUGCCUCGACAUUCUUAAUAAUUUCAGUAGCUCAUUAUCAGUCAUGCAUCAUAACUCAAAAGUCCAUCACAUGUUGUUUGCACCCCAAGUAACCACAUGUUCUUCUUGGAACCCUGUUCCUCAUCAAACCUAUCAAAUGAACUCUCAGCUCUCUAGGAACUCUAAACAACUAUCUAACAAGAAAUCCU